GAAAAAGAGAUGGAAUAGCUCCCAGAGGUUAUUUUGUUAUUUGGUGAUUUUGUGAUACCAUUGAGUCUUUAGAGAAGUCUCACUGUUAAGAGAGGACAAAGAUGGCAAAGAUGUUGUUUAGUGCUAAUCAUAUUUAUCUUGCCACCAACAAGCCCCAAAGAAACUACGUCGGAAGUGGAGAAUUGCUAAGUCUAAAGAUUCAAGUUCAACUUUCAAGGUAGGCUAGACAUUCUGGGGUUGCAAGUCCUGACAGUUUAGAUGUACACCAGAAUGACUAGGAUCGAUCCAAGGAGACCGAUGGUUUGCGAUAGUGUACUACCUUUACUUGGAGCCGCUCGGUUUCUAGGUCGUGCUAUCUGGCGUGAUUACCUAGAUUGUCCAAGGCCUGACAUGUUGAGAUAGGGUUUGGUUGGGGUGAAGCCCCAACCGGACCAUCCAGCUCUCUAUCUAGCCUUUGCCCCAAAGUAGUUUGGUUACUAUCCCAGGCUGUCUGGCAUCCUGUUUCACUUGAGCAUUUUGAAUGCAUUUACUAGUUUGAAUCCCUAGUAAUAGGGGUUCAUGGGCCAUCUAGGCUAAUUAUCCCGAACCGUCUGGAUGUGAUUCUGCUAAAAGACGAUUGUUUUUUUUUACUUAGUUAUAUAUAUCGGAGUUGACUACCCGUGCAAGCAAAACUUCAGAUUUAGGACCAUUGCUAUUCUCCACUAUUCCUUGGCCCCAUUUGAGCUAUUCUCUUGGAUUGGAAGAGAGAGAUUUGAGAGGGUGUCUAGAGGUAAGUUAAGCCAAGCUGAGAUCCAAGCUUUUCCCCUCCUUUGACCAAAAGAUUUUAGCAUUUGAGCUAAUUUCCAAGCCUCUUGAUCUUAUUGCUCUUGGAGGUUGGAGAUUCCUAGGAGGUUGGUGUCACUCGUGAGCUUCCAAGUUGUGGAUUGCCCCAAAGUUUGUGAAGGUUGGAAGUCACCUUAAGACUCACCCUAAUUGGUUGAGCUCGGGCUUUGUUGGACGAGGCUUAGGGAGAAGAAGACGAGACUUGGUAUCGCACAAUGCCUUGUUUGGUCUCCACCUCUCAAACGGAGUUUGCGUCCCUCCAAGGACGUGAACUUCAGGUGACAUCUUCGUCUCCAUGUCCACUUUGGUUAUCCUUUUCCUAGCUCCUAUUAUUGUUUGGAGUAAUUUAGCUUGCUAGAUUGCUUAUCGUACAUGGUGUUUCACUUACUUAUAUUUCUAGAGAACUCAUAAUUCUACAAUCCCUAAAAUCCACUAAGGAAAGAUAAAAAUUUGUAGUUGCUUCACUCCCCUCCAGUUUACAUCUUUGAUCCUUUGUCAUCCUAAUGUGGCUAUUGUGGAAAAGGCCGAAGUUCAUGGGUGUUUAUUUCCUAUGUGUGGACUCCUGAUUUGGUGUAUUGUUAUCAAGAACUUUGGUCUAAAUUGAUGGCAGCGGCGGUGAUGUUGACGUCGGGUUUGUUUUGGUUAGUGGUUCUCCUAUUUUCAUAAAUAUUUUACUUUUGAUGGUCUAUACUAAUGGUUUGGCAAUGAAAAUCAUGGUCCAAUAUUCGGGCUGCAACGAGUUCAACUAAUUUAUGUUGCCACUUGUUAGGAUGGUUGACUCAUGUGGCUCUUAGAAAUCUUUGAUGACAUACAAGUAUGAUAUUUGGACUUCUACAACCUUUUCAAUGGAUGCUCAGAGGAAUUUUAAGAUGCAAAGGGCAAAGUUGGAGACCGCGACUUUGGAGACCAGAAAAAUUUGGAAUGACUUCGUCUGGGGCCAUCAUCCUCUCCACAUCGCAAUCAUCAUGCUACCGUGCAACCUUAACCUAAAAGAUGGUCCCACCCUAUCCCCAUAACCUAGCUCCUCCUCUAUGCAAGCAGUCAUAAUCCAAAGAAUAGGUGGAAGAUAUGGACAAGAACGAAAGUGAAUAUCAUAUGAGUUGAAAACGAGUCCAAAGGAUGGCAGUUGAUCAAUGCACGCUAGUAUAUCAGAUUUAAUGGUUCUCUCAGUGUAUUAGGAUGAUAGUGAAGGAUGGUGCGAUGAUGUAUAUAUCAUGUCUUGCUUGCCCUCUUCAAGGUGAAAGUUAUCCCUUGUUUGACAAGAACAUCGUGUAUCACACAUUACCACACUCGUCAGUGGCGGAGACAGGCCUGGGGAAACUAUGGCUAUAGCCCUAGGCCUAGCAACAACUUCCCUUAUAAUUCCUUCAUACAAAGUAUAGAAAAUCACAGAAAUUUAUUAGUCAACAUAGUGUAGCCCCAAGCUUAACCUGCUGCUAGCUCCGCCACUAACACUCGUGAUGGUGUUUUGGUGAUUACAUCAUGAAUUAGGUUAAUCUAUUUUUCUUUUUUACUUUUACUUCGAUACACAUUUGGUCUUAUGGUCGAUGACCCUCAUAUUCUUUUGCCUAUUGGCCACAUACCCAAUUCGAUACUAUGGGAUACAAGACAAGCAUGCCACAAACAAAUCUCACAAAGAAAACGAUGAUGUCAAUUCAAAUGCAUAUCUGACCGAUAUAUGUCAUUUUAAACGAUGUAUGUUUUCGAUGUAAUGUUAGGAGAGAGAACACCUGUAAGUAGGGGAUCUACCUUAAUAAAGAGGCUCACAUCGAUGAUUGACCCUCAAACCCCCUCAUACACUGACAAAGGAUGGGGUAGUGCCAUUUCAUUUGGGAUAACCCUUUAUAACUCCUUGCACCCAUAUCCUUAAGGUGUAAAUUGUAAGGCAUAGAUUGAGGGGCUUGGGAUCAUAAUUGUGCAUCUACAUAAGGUCCUACAAGACUCACAAAUUAACACAUGAACUAUGGCAAGGAUAACAUAUAAGAGGGGUCGCAUCCUAACAAGGGGCAUAUGAGCAUAUUCAACAAUCCACACUGACUGAAUAGUUGUCGUGCAGUAAGAGGGAAUGUUCUUGAUUGUCCAGACAAGGAUGUCAUGGUUGGGCAUGCUUGCCCCCCUGUUGGGGUAUGAGGGAUCAAGGAUGCCAUGGUUGGGCAUGCUCUAAGAUAAGCGAAACUGGUGAGAGAAUCCUUAGCGAAACGCUUGGGAUCUCAACAUGACCAAGAAUAGACACGAAUACACAAACUUGGGAGGGACAUGCAUGAACCCUAUGUCAAGGAUUAGACCUAAUCCACACCGCUCGGAGCUUAUGAACGUCGUCAUGUGUGUAGUUGUGCAUGUAUGUGUAGAUCUUUAUUUUGUAGAGAGUGGGUGCUGAACUCAUUUUUUGUUAUCGUUUUGACAUGACCUUUGCGCUAAUAAAACUCAUUUGAUAAAGCAAUGCAAGUCUUGACUAGGUGUAGGUGGUGAUUUGGUGUGUGUUAGGGUUCUUCUAAUCCCCUAUUAACUGUUAGUUAUGUGUUUCAUUAACAUAAUUGCUCCAUAUAAAUAAAAGUAUUUUUCUAUAUGGGAAGUUUCGUGGCUCUAAGACCACCGGAUUGGGCAAAUUCGACCCCCUAAACGUUCGCGGACGUGUGCAUGCGCCUGCAGACAGCGCCGACCAGCCCUCAUCUGUCCUCCCAGACAACCAUACCCCACAUAUUCAUGCAAAACCAUGAACCUCCAUCACAUAUAUAACAUCACUUUAUCACCAAUUCAACAAUUCGGCAAAGCAAAUAAAUCAACACAUGCCAAAAUAAAAUUUAACCACUCAUAGAUAGGCGAUACAAGAAUGAAUCAUUCUCCUCUCUCUUUGCGGGUUGAUCUCCUUUUUCUUCAUGUGUAGCCCCUUCUUGCUUUCCUCGUUCAAGAGGCUAGCGUCGUGCAAUAUGAUCCUCGGAUCCUCGGUGCCCCUUGCAAGCUUCAACCUCUCUUUGUCGAGCUCAGUUGUUUGUAUUGUCUUCUUCUUUUUAAGCUCCUAUUUUGCACAUUUCUCUUGCUUCCCCAAAUCUAUCUUCCCCCUCUCAAUGCUCAUCUUAUCUUUCACCCUCUCCCGGUCGAACAACAUCAUCUCCCUUUGAACAUCCAAGAAGAUAUUGUACCUCGCCCCUUUUGCUCCUCUUGGGCGUAAAAAAUGCCCAUCACGGACAUUUUGAUUGUCGCACCGUCACACGUGGCCCUCCCCUUCUUCUACUUGUUUCCCACCACCUGCCAAUUCGUCUUUGGCAUGGUUCCUUUUCCGUCCGCUUCUCCACUUUGCUGAUCAUCGUUAACCAGCCCAAUAGAUUGUUGGGAGCUUGAGCCAUUGUUUUUAUUCAACUCCUUGGUGAGGUUUUCAAGCUCUGUAAUGGCGAGUUGCCACUUAGGUUUCACAUUCAAUUUCAACCAACAACGGGGCAAAGUGAAUGGCUUGCCCUUGGUUUGGUUGUACAAAUUGGAUCUAUGCUUGUGGACAACCAAGAUUCACACAACAACACAUCUUCAUGGCUUGUGAAUGCCGAGCCUCUUGCCUUUGCUACCUUUUUAUUUUAGUGCGUGAUAUUUGCACAACAUCAAGGAAUUGGUAUCACCCAAACCAUAAUGCAUAGGCUCUUGACCAUCAUUUACCAUGUUGAUAAAAAAAUAUGCAUCACAUUAAAAUACCAUUCCUAAAUUGAUCCAAUGGUAUGUGCAACAAACAAAGCAAGCAAUACAAUGGCAUAUGGGGCAAAUUGUACCAUGUCUUGGUUGACUACUUCAUCGAACAACACGUGGGCAUGCCCGAUGUUGGCUUUAUCCGCUGCCUUUGGAGUUGCACUGAGCAGUACACCGUGUCCGCAAUGGCAUCUUCCAACGUCCAGCCAUCCAAGAUGGCCCAUUCGGAUGUUGGAACGGAGUUGGGAACGCCAGACAACUUGUUCCCUCUCGCGGGUAGGUAGGAUGACGUGGAGGCAAUCGCAAGACCAGACGCGCCUAAGUCCAUGUCUAUGACCUCUUUCUCUGUAGGUUCCUUCUUUGUAGCUUCUCAGACGCGCUGCCAAGAGCAUCGCUUCCUCUGGGAGAUGUUCUCCGCCUUGCAAGCAGCGACAGUCGGGAGCGCCACAAACUUCGCCGAGCUAUCAUCCAUGGCGGCGGUGGGAACCAAGGCCCUUAUUGUCGAGGUCGGACAACUAGCGAGGACGACGACGCAGAUGGAGAGCAAGGGUGGGGGGAGGGCGACAGCUUAGACGAGGGAAAUGGAGCACAGUCAUGUGCGUAGUGUGGUUGAUUUGGUGGACUUGAUCAAUUUCGAGCGAAUUUGGGGUAGGUCCGACCUGUCGUACGUGUCGGACGUUCCAUAUCCCACCCGCAUAUGGGUUAGAUUUGAGAGAUGCCGGACAACCCGAACAUUUGGGCUGUCUUUCAGGGAUCCGAUUGGAUGAUGUUUUUCGGUCUGGGCAAUGACCGGGUUAUCCGCACGUUCGAGAGUGAGUGUCCGGUUGUAGAUGCUCCACCAGCUCAUUUGCUUUAAGUGACCAGUAGAAUACUGAAACAACAGGAGUAGAAAAUGAUUGGAAGCCCAUCAAGAACCUUUUCAAUAUGAACAGGCGGAGGCAAUCACAGGAAACACGUGGAAGGUGGACUACACAUGAUUCCAUGUAUUCGGCCACGACCUCGCCAUGACCAUCGUUGGACCUUGAACAGAGAACAACACCGUCGCCGUCGAUGCACACAUGCCACAACACGAUAGAUAUGUUAGUUAAAUGAGAGAUCCCAAUAGUGCUACCACAACAUCGACUAAAAUAACACGUUGUCAUAUUCAACACACAGUUGCUGACACUAGCACCAGCAACUCGUCGAGCAGCCGAAACUUCAGCGAAAGCGUGUGCAAGUGUCGCUAGAAGACUACGGUCCAGGCCCGGUCCGUACUCGUUUAAGAAGUCUCUACUCGUCGUCUGCCGUUCAAGCAUUUUACCGUGGACAGCAUGUUCCCCGGUCGCUGGCUACGUGGCUCUGCUUCUGGUUCACCGUUCACACUGGCAGGAUUCUCUUGUUCAAUGCAAUCUACUCGUCAUUGAAAUUUUCCUCUCUUUGGUUUCCCAUCUGGGAGAAAUCUUUGAUUCUAGAUGCAUGUCUUCAGCCUGCAUACAUAAUAAUACUAUGUCAGAUGAGUAGUUAUGGUAUGAGAAUAAUAUUGUUUUUGGCACAUGGCCUUUCUAGCAGAUGUUUUGCAUUUAUUAUUAUGAACUGUCCUCAUGGAUGCUUAAGCUCCAAAUACCUCUGUUUAACUUGGAAUCCUGCUAAUUUUUUUCCAGAAUGUCCUAAAUUAUACAUAAAUUUAAAAUAUCUAAAUCAUCAUUUUAGAUU
rnacentral:rRNA from 1 species